UGGGCAACCUGCCCCAGACACAGGGAUAACCCCGGGAAAACCGGGGCUAAUACCGGAUACUCCGGUCGAACCGAAUGGCUCGAUCGGGAAAGCUCCGACGGUCUGGGAUGGGCCCCGCGGCCUAUCAGCUUGUUGGUGGGGUGAAGGCCUACCAAGGCGACGACGGGUAGCCGGCCUGAGAGGGCGACCGGCCACACUGGGACUGAGACACGGCCCAGACUCCUACGGGAG
rnacentral:rRNA from 1 species